UUUGGCGCCCUCAAUUGGUCGUCGUUACCUCAGUUUGUUCGAGGAAGGAAUUGGAUUACAACUUGCUUGAAGCACUCUUUCAAGAGAUACGGAAACAAGGAGUACUUGAAACACUGAAGUGCGCAAUUUCAAAUCCGGGGAAAUUACGUCACCAAUUUUUUCAACAGUAUUUACGUCCGGAUUUCUGGCUUAUCGUUAACUUGAAGAAUGUCUGGUUUCGCCAACACAGUAAUCAUUUGGCCGACGACGCUGGAACGUGGACGGCCCGUCCUCGUCCUCUCAGACCAAGAUUGUGGCAUCUACAUCAGUUGCUGGCCGAAUGGUAAGUUAUUAUUGGUGCGCUUUACUGGGCGCAGAUGAGUGGCCCUGAGUCGACUCUUUGGUUUGCGGGCACACUUUUCCCAGUUGCGGUGUCUUUGUCUUUAAUCGCAUCUAGAUUCCGCGGCCGCAUUACCCGGUCACCAAAUACACACAACCAACCAUGGAUUUGAUAAUUAUUCACCGUUUGAGCAGAAAGUGGAGAUGGUUGGAGUCGAUGUAGACUUUGGCAGGAAUGUGAACGGUCGACAUGAGGUGAUUGACCAACGGAGCGCUAUGCAUACGAUGUGAUUAGAGGCUCACGGGCGAAGGCACUUUAGCAUGAAAUCUGCACAGGAUUCGGAGGUCUGGCACUGCGAUCAAGUCCUUAAUUCGCAUUCUAAUGAGCGUCGGAACGGCAACCGUUCAUUAGAUUUUGAAGGAGACACAAUUGUGGUUACGCACUUCAAUUAUGAGGUGCGAACAAAAGAUUACGGUUUCUUCGGACUGUAACUGGGUGAUUGAAGAUUAUAUGGUUACUCUGGCGAAUACAUUUAGCUGGCGUUGCCAAUAAUCAACGCGCAGUCAUGAUUUAGUUUACUAUCAUGGGUUGUGGUCAUUCUCAUGUGCGGUAUUCUUAAAGUACUUCUCUGUGCCUCGAAUUUAUCACGAUGAGAACGAUGAGUAGGUGUGCAAAUUACAACAAUAUAAAUGACCAGCCUCGAAGGAUCAAGACGUCUCUAGCUGUGCAUACAUUUGUGACGUUUCUCCUGUCAUUAUCAGCUGUAAAACUACUUCGAAGUAGUUUUGCAACCUAGGAGUAAAAAUGUGGCAACACGAUUUUGAAUA